AGGAUAAUAAAUGGAAGAACAUCUGUGCUUAAUACUUUUCCUCCUUUGAGAAAUUCUGCACAUUCCACAGAUGUGAAAUGAGAUUCUUCGCAAGUGAAUAGUGCUUUUGAAUUUUUUUCACAACUAAAGAGGUUAAUAACCUGAAGACCACAAAGAAACCACUUGCAAGUCAAAGCUUCUUUAACUGUUAGUUGAAUAACUGUUGUUGAGUCGUAAAAUGGAGCAAAAAAAGCAAUAAGCCACAGCACUUCCAUCGCCUGGCUGUGUUCUCCACCAUACGUGAAAGAGCAAGCAGGUCACUCUGUGCAAUGUGCACCAGUUUCGGCAUAUGCUGAAACUCAUUUUCAGCAGAAGCCAUUCCCAUGUUCAUUCCUGGCUGGCACGUGGCUUGUCAAUGUAAGUGCUCAGAGGACAGGUGACACCCUCUUCUCGGUUCCCAAAGAAGCAUACAGUCGAAGAGUGUAAAAUCUCACUGAUCUAGACUUUUCCAAAAUGACCGUGUUUAUAAUGUUUGAGCACCAUCCCCGGAAAACUUCUGCCGCUAUGUGACCACCAAGUUACAUGGAGAAGCUUCUUUACGAGCGUGUUGUCAC